GUAACAGGAAUUAGCUUGCUAAUUUGCUGACGAGUGGCGCACGGGUGCGUAACGCGUAUACAAUCUACCUUUUACAGGGGGAUAGCCCAGAGAAAUUUGGAUUAAUAUCCCAUAGUAUUAUUUAUUGGCAUCGAUUAAUAAUUAAAGCUUCGGCGGUAAAAGAUGAGUAUGCGUUCUAUUAGCUAGUAGGUGUGGUAACGGCACACCUAGGCAACGAUAGAUAGGGGCCCUGAGAGGGGGAUCCCCCACACUGGUACUGAGACACGGACCAGACUCCUACGGGAGGCAGCAGUGAGGAAUAUUGGACAAUGGGCGAGAGCCUGAUCCAGCCAUGCCGCGUGCAGGAUGACUGCCCUAUGGGUUGUAAACUGCUUUUAUACAGGAAGAAACGGCUUUACGUGUAGAGCUCUGACGGUACUGUAAGAAUAAGGAUCGGCUAACUCCGUGCCAGCAGCCGCGGUAAUACGGAGGAUCCAAGCGUUAUCCGGAAUCAUUGGGUUUAAAGGGUCCGUAGGUGGAUAAUUAAGUCAGAGGUGAAAUCCUGCAGCUCAACUGUAGAAUUGCCUUUGAUACUGGUUAUCUUGAGUUACUAUGAAGUAGUUAGAAUAUGUAGUGUAGCGGUGAAAUGCAUAGAUAUUACAUAGAAUACCAAUUGCGAAGGCAGAUUACUAAUAGUACACUGACACUGAUGGACGAAAGCGUGGGUAGCGAACGGGAUUAGAUACCCCGGUAGUCCACGCCGUAAACGAUGGUCACUAGCUGUUCGGACUUUUUGUCUGAGUGGCUAAGCGAAAGUGAUAAGUGACCCACCUGGGGGAGUACGUUCGCAAGAAUGAAACUCAAAGGAAUUGACGGGGGCC
rnacentral:rRNA from 1 species